AUUGAACGCUGGCGGCAGGCCUAACACAUGCAAGUCGAACGGUAACAGGCUACCGCUUGCUGUUUCGCUGACGAGUGGCGGACGGGUGAGUAAUGUCUGGGAAACUGCCUGAUGGAGGGGGUUAACUACUGGAAACGGUAGCUAAUACCGCAUAACGUCGCAAGACCAAAGAGGGGGACCCUCGGGCCUCUUGCCAUCGGAUGUGCCCAGAUGGGUUUUGCUUGUUGGUGGGGUAACGGCUCACCAAGGCGACGAUCCCUAGCUGGUCUGAGAGGAUGACCACCCACACUGGAACUGAGACACGGUCCAGACUCCGACGGGAGGCAGCGGUGGGGAAUAUUGCACAAUGGGCGCAAGCCUGAUGCAGCCAUGCCGCGUGUAUGAAGAAGGCCUUCGGGUUGUAAAGUACUUUCAGCGGGGAGGAAGGGAGUAAAGUUAAUACCUUUGCUUAUUGACGUUACCCGCAGAAGAAGCACCGGCUAACUCCGUG
rnacentral:rRNA from 1 species